UACGAAGGGGGCUAGCGUUGCUCGGAAUCACUGGGCGUAAAGGGUGCGUAGGCGGGUCUUUAAGUCAGGGGUGAAAUCCUGGAGCUCAACUCCAGAACUGCCUUUGAUACUGAAGAUCUUGAGUUCGGGAGAGGUGAGUGGAACUGCGAGUGUAGAGGUGAAAUUCGUAGAUAUUCGCAAGAACACCAGUGGCGAAGGCGGCUCACUGGCCCGAUACUGACGCUGAGGCACGAAGCGUGGG
rnacentral:rRNA from 1 species